UACGGGGGGGGCAAGCGUUGUUCGGAAUUACUGGGCGUAAAGGGUUCGUAGGUGGCCAACUAAGUCAGACGUGAAAUCCCUCAGCUUAACCGGGGAACUGCGUCUGAUACUGGAUGGCUUGAGUUUGGGAGAGGGAUGCGGAAUUCCAGGUGUAGCGGUGAAAUGCGUAGAUAUCUGGAGGAACACCGGUGGCGAAGGCGGCAUCCUGGACCAACACUGACGCUGAGUGAGCGAAAGCCAGGGGAGCAAACGGG
rnacentral:rRNA from 1 species